AGCCCCAUAGCUCAGUGGCUAGAGCGCUGGUCUUCUAAACCAGAAUUCUUGCUGGGGCUG
rnacentral:tRNA from 1 species